AGUGAACGCUGGCGGCGUGCCUAAGACAUGCAAGUUGAACGAGAAAGCACCUUCGGGUGUGAUUAAAGUGGCGCACGGGUGAGUAACACCUGGGCAACCUACCCUUCAGAGGGGGACAACUCCGGGAAACCGGAGCUAAUACCGCGUACGCCCUGUUUUUCUGCGGAUUAACAGGGGAAAGCUUUUGCGCUGAAGGAUGGGCCCGGGCCCGAUUAGUUUGUUGGUGGGGUAAUGGCCUACCAAGACUACGAUUGGUAGCUGGUUUGAGAGGAUGAUCAGCCACACUGGUACUGGAACACGGACCAGACUCCUACGGGAGGCAGCAGUUAGGAAUUUUGCGCAAUGGGGGAAACCCUGACGCAGCAACGCCGCGUGAGUGAAGAAGGCCCUAGGGUUGUAAAGCUCUUUCGAAUGGGAAGAAAAAAAUGACGGUACCAUUAGAAGAAGCACCGGCUAACUCCG
rnacentral:rRNA from 1 species